rnacentral:lncRNA from 1 species
ACUACUGCUUGCACGGCAGAUUCUUUGAGGGCUCAAAAGCAAAAGGUCCAACAUUAAAGAGCUUAACCCCAGUCUCAGAAUCCACUGGCUUUGAUGUCAUUGGUGCUGGUGGUGGCAGUGAUGCAGGGAUCAACAUGGCUCCAGCUUGUCCAUUGUGGAAAUUUGUUGGGACACUGCACUCUGGUUUUGGUGAUUUUGCUAAGAACACCUUGCACUUAUGGUAACCUGCUGUGGUCAACCACUUUGGUUGGAUGAAGAAGUAACCAUUCUUGUCUGUUGUGCCUAGGGCUGUUAGGUGGUACUUUGUGUUGUUGCAUGCCAGCUUCACCACCGCUCCUGCACCAUAAAAAGAUGGUUUACUUUUAGAAAGAAAAACUGAAAUACUUCUAGAACUUUUGAUUUUAAAAUGUGAUGGCUUUUUUUUUUACUAGAACAUAUCAUAAGGUAAAGUGUUAAUUUCAAAGUUAAAUACUCCUAAAGCACCCGAUUUUUGAACAUGUAAUAAGUAAAAUUUUAGGUUCCAACUUCCAAGUUAAUAGUUCUCAAGUACACUGUUUGUUCCAUUUUAUGUGAUACUCCUACUAUUUUACUUUUUAACUUUUUUAUCUUAAAUAUUAUGCCUCAGUCAAAUAAGUUACCAUAAAAAUGGAACAUAUAUAUAAAAAGAGUGUCACAUAUUAUGAAAUAACAGGAAUAGUUAAAAAGAGAAGGGACCCAGAAUUGGAGAAGCUCCCAAGAGAGUGUCAAUCCCCCUGUACUUGCAAGAUUUACAGUAAACAACUCCUCUUACACCAACAAACUUCCUGGUUGGAAGAGGAGAUGGUGGUUUAACUGGUGGAUGAGCAGGCGGAGUUGGUGGUUUACUAGGCGAAUGAGCAGGUGGAGUUGGUGGUUUAACAGGCGGAGACGGUGGUUUGACUGGUGGUGAAGAGUGAGAGGGAGAAGAAGCUGGGGCUUGGCCGUGCUUGUGGUGGUGGUGGUGGUGGUGUUGGCCGCCAUUAUGAGGCUUAGGGGUUUCAACGGGUGGGAAGCU